GCCCUGAUGUGGGGGAUAACCAUUGGAAACGAUGGCUAAUACCGCAUAAUGCCUACGGGCCAAAGAGGGGGACCUUCGGGCCUCUCGCGUCAGGAUAUGCCUAGGUGGGAUUAGCUAGUUGGUGAGGUAAGGGCUCACCAAGGCGACGAUCCCUAGCUGGUCUGAGAGGAUGAUCAGCCACACUGGAACUGAGACACGGUCCAGACUCCUACGGGAGGCAGCAGUGGGGAAUAUUGCACAAUGGGCGCAAGCCUGAUGCAGCCAUGCCGCGUGUGUGAAGAAGGCCUUCGGGUUGUAAAGCACUUUCAGUCGUGAGGAAGGUAGUGUAGUUAAUAGCUGCAUUAUUUGACGUUAGCGACAGAAGAAGCACCGGCUAACUCCGUGCCAGCAGCCGCGGUAAUACGGAGGGUGCGAGCGUUAAUCGGAAUUACUGGGCGUAAAGCGCAUGCAGGUGGUUUGUUAAGUCAGAUGUGAAAGCCCGGGGCUCAACCUCGGAAUUGCAUUUGAAACUGGCAGACUAGAGUACUGUAGAGGGGGGUAGAAGGGCAGGUGUAGCGGUGAAAUGCGUAGAGAUCUGAAGGAAUACCGGUGGCGAAGGCGGCCCCCUGGACAGAUACUGACACUCAGAUGCGAAACCCUGGGGAGCAAACAGGAUUAGAUACCCUGGUAGUCCACGCCGUAAACGAUGUC
rnacentral:rRNA from 1 species